GAUCCUGGCUCAGGAUGAACGCUAGCGACAGGCUUAACACAUGCAAGUCGAGGGGCAGCAUAAAAGUAGCAAUACUUGGUGGCGACCGGCGCACGGGUGAGUAACGCGUAUGCAACCUACCUAUCAGAGGGGAAUAACCCGGCGAAAGUCGGACUAAUACCGCAUAAAACAGGGGCACCGCAUGGUGAUAUUUGUUAAAGAAAUUCGCUGAUAGAUGGGCAUGCGUUCCAUUAGGUAGUUGGUGAGGUAACGGCUCACCAAGCCGACGAUGGAUAGGGGAACUGAGAGGUUGGUCCCCCACACUGGUACUGAGACACGGACCAGACUCCUACGGGAGGCAGCAGUGAGGAAUAUUGGUCAAUGGGCGGGAGCCUGAACCAGCCAAGUCGCGUGAAGGAAGAAGGAUCUAUGGUUCGUAAACUUCUUUUGCAGGGGAAUAAAGUGCAGGACGUGUCCUGUUUUGUAUGUACCCUGAGAAUAAGGAUCGGCUAACUCCGUGCCAGCAGCGGC
rnacentral:rRNA from 1 species